rnacentral:hammerhead_ribozyme from 1 species
AUCCAGCUGACCGACGAGUCUAAAAUAGGACGAAAUGCUCAUCCUGACUGGAU